rnacentral:rRNA from 1 species
UGGAUCCAGACUUUGAUUAUGGCUCAGGAUGAACGCUAGCUACAGGCUUAACACAUGCAAGUCGAGGGGAAACGACAUUGAAAGCUUGCUUUUGAUGGGCGUCGACCGGCGCACGGGUGAGUAACGCGUAUCCAACCUGCCCAUCACUUGGGGAUAACCUUGCGAAAGUAAGACUAAUACCCAAUGAUAUCUCAAGAAGACAUCUGAAUGAGAUUAAAGAUUUAUCGGUGAUGGAUGGGGAUGCGUCUGAUUAGCUUGUUGGCGGGGUAACGGCCCACCAAGGCGACGAUCAGUAGGGGUUCUGAGAGGAAGGUCCCCCACAUUGGAACUGAGACACGGUCCAAACUCCUACGGGAGGCAGCAGUGAGGAAUAUUGGUCAAUGGACGAGAGUCUGAACCAGCCAAGUAGCGUGCAGGAUGACGGCCCUAUGGGUUGUAAACUGCUUUUAUAAGGGAAUAAAGUGAGUCUCGUGAGACUUUUUGCAUGUACCUUAUGAAUAAGGACCGGCUAAUUCCGUGCCAGCAGCCGCGGUAAUACGGAAGGUCCGGGCGUUAUCCGGAUUUAUUGGGUUUAAAGGGAGCGUAGGCCGGAGAUUAAGCGUGUUGUGAAAUGUAGAUGCUCAACAUCUGCACUGCAGCGCGAACUGGUUUCCUUGAGUACGCACAAAGUGGGCGGAAUUCGUGGUGUAGCGGUGAAAUGCUUAGAUAUCACGAAGAACUCCGAUUGCGAAGGCAGCUCACUGGAGCGCAACUGACGCUGAAGCUCGAAAGUGCGGGUAUCGAACAGGAUUAGAUACCCUGGUAGUCCGCACGGUAAACGAUGGAUGCCCGCUGUUGGUCUGAAUAGGUCAGCGGCCAAGCGAAAGCAUUAAGCAUCCCACCUGGGGAGUACGCCGGCAACGGUGCAAC